rnacentral:misc_RNA from 1 species
UGCUUAAUAAUUUUUAUGGAAAUACAAGCCCGCAUGGGAAGGAAAAAUAAAAUAAAGAUCGUACAAAAAAUAAUAAUAAUCACACCAUCGCCGAUGACUCCUGCACAAGAGGAAGCAACUCCCCUGAAGCGACCAUCACCACCACGACGACCAUAACUCUCUUCCUCAACAGAAAAAUCCUCUAUAACCCACAAAACAGCAUGAACCAAAACGACAGGCAAAGAACCAGCCAACGUCAAAAGAAGAUGUAAACCAGCAUUUGUCAGGACAAGCUCAACCNNUGCAACAACUAUCACAGGAAGCACCAAUCUUUUGUCCAAAAUCUUAUGAAUAAUAUUAGAACUUGGCACUGCACUUAACAGUAACAGGUACAGAGAUCCCACAUAGGUCAUGAUCACC